rnacentral:rRNA from 1 species
ACUAAAUAGAUACCCUGGUAGUCCAUGCCGUAAACGAUGUCGACUAGGUGUUGGGGAACUUGAUUCCUUAGUGCCGCAGCUAAACGCAUUAAGUCGACCGCCUGGGGAGUACGACCGCAAGGUUAAAACUCAAAUGAAUUGACGGGGGCCCGCACAAGCGGUGGAGCAUGUGGUUUAAAUUCGAUGCAACGCGAAGAACCUUACCUACUCUUGACAUCCAGAGAAUCCUGCAGAGAUGCGGGAGUGCCUUCGGGAAUUCUGAGACAGGUGCUGCAUGGCUGUCGUCAGCUCGUGUCGUGAGAUGUUGGGUUAAGUCCCGCAACGAGCGCAACCCUUAUCCUUAGUUGCCAGCACGUAAUGGUGGGAACUCUAGGGAGACUGCCGGUGACAAACCGGAGGAAGGCGGGGACGACGUCAAGUCAUCAUGGCCCUUACGAGUAGGGCUACACACGUGCUACAAUGGUCGGUACAGAGGGUCGCAAGCCUGCGAGGGUGAGCCAAUCUCAAAAAGCCGAUCGUAGUCCGGAUUGGA